rnacentral:rRNA from 1 species
AGUAGUCAUAUGCUUGUCUCAAAGAUUAAGCCAUGCAUGUCUCAGUGCAAACUGAACUAAAGUGAAACCGCGAAUGGCUCAUUAAAUCAGUUAUGGUUCCUUGGAUGCUACUCUGUUACAUGGAUAACUGUGGUAAUUCUAGAGCUAAUACAUGCAACUCGAGCCCCGUCCGGAGACGGUCGGGGCGCAUAUGUUAGAUCAAAAUCAAUCGGCCCGUCGAAAGACGGGCCGUCCAGCUGGUGACUCUGAACAUACCUUCAGCUGAUCGCAUGGCCUCCGAGCCGGCGACAAGUCUUUCGAAUGUCUGCCUUAUCAACUGUCGAUGGUAGGUUCUGCGCCUACCAUGGUCGUAACGGGUAACGGAGAAUCAGGGUUCGAUUCCGGAGAGGGAGCCUGAGAAACGGCUACCACAUCCAAGGAAGGCAGCAGGCGCGCAAAUUACCCACUCCCGGCACGGGGAGGUAGUGACGAAAAAUAACGAUACGGGACUCAUCCGAGGCCCCGUAAUCGGAAUGAGAACACUUUAAAACUUUUAACGAGUACCUAAUGGAGGGCAAGUCUGGUGCCAGCAGCCGCGGUAAUUCCAGCUCCAUUGGCGUAUAUUAAAG